GAGGUUGUGAUUCAGAGGUAGAGUGCUCACCUUUUAAGUGUGAGGCACUGGGUUCGAUCCUCAGCACCACA
rnacentral:tRNA from 1 species